CCUACGGGUGGCAGCAGUGAGGAAUAUUGGUCAAUGGGCGGAAGCCUGAACCAGCCAAGUAGCGUGCGGGAUGAAGGCCCUACGGGUCGUAAACCGCUUUUGCACGGGGAUAACACCCUCCACUUGUGGAGGUCUGCAGGUACCGUGCGAAUAAGGGCCGGCUAAUUCCGUGCCAGCAGCCGCGGUAAUACGGGAGGCCCGAGCGUUAUCCGGAUUUAUUGGGGUUAAAGGGUGGGCAGUCGGAAGGUCAAGUCAGCGGUAAAAUUGAGGGGGUCAACCUCUUCGAUCCGUUGAAACUGGUUUUCUUGAGUGAGCGAGAGGUAUGCGGAAUGCGUGGUGUAGCGGUGAAAUGCAUAGAUAUCACGAAGAACUCCGAUUGCGAAGGCAGCAUACCGGCGCUCAACUGACGCUCAUGCACGAAAGUGUGGGUAUCGAACAGGAUUAGAUACCCUUGUAGUC
rnacentral:rRNA from 1 species